GACGGAGGGUGCUAGCGUUGUUCGGAAUCACUGGGCGUAAAGGGCGCGUAGGCGGCUUCAGGUGUCGGAUGUGAAAAUCCGGGGCUCAACCCCGGACUUGCGGUGGGUACGGGCAGACUAGAGUGUGGUAGGGGAGACUGGAAGUUCCUGGUGUAGCGGGUGGAAUGCGCAGAUAUCAGGAGGAACACCAAUUGCGAAGGCAGCUCGCUGGGACGUUACUGACGCUGAGACGCGAAAGCGUGGGGAGCAAACAGG
rnacentral:rRNA from 1 species